UAAACAAAAGAUUAAUAUAUAUAGAAUAUAUAAAUUGCUGAUAAUUAAGAUAAUAUUAAUGCAAUGUUAUAAUAAAAUAUUAUUUCACAUAAAUUGUAAAAUACAUGUGAGAAUUGAAAAUAUUUUAACAUAGUUAUAUUCACAUAGGAGAUAUCUAAAGUAAAAUAUUAUGCCAGGUUGCUGCGUUCCAAAUUGUAAAAAUUCUGCAGCAAAAUGGUUUUUAAUGAAGUAUUUCCCAAGUAAUGUAACAUUAAGAGCUCAAUGGGCUGCAAAUAUUCUAUGAGCAAAUUGGAUACCCACGAAUGCUACUUGUAUUUGUGAAGUAUAUUUUGUACCAGAAAUGUGGGAGAAACCACGAGUUGAUGGUAAACGAAUUCUAAAGCACCAUGCCUUACCAAACAUCUUUAAUCCGACCUCUGAAACAGUUGUUGCAUCCAAACAAAAUAAUGAAAUUACGCAAUCAAUGUGUCAAAGUGUUUAAAUGAUUGGCACAUCAGAUCUUACCAGCGAUAAAGUUCCCACUCAAAUUCUUGAAGAACCGAUUGAAUCUCUCAGAAAUGCAGUUAUUCACAAUCAACCGAAUCCAUCUUUAUGUGGCCUCGAGUGUGAAACAUAUUGGAAAAAACAAUAUGAAAAGCUGAGUGAUUUAUUUAAGAAACGUGAAAAGACUUAUGAUUCUGUUUUAAGAAGAUGUAAUAAGUUUAACAAAAUCCUUAAAAAGAAGGUGAAAAGAUUGAAUGUAGAAAAAAUAAGUCAGCCUAAACAAUAUGUAAAAAAUUGCACUCAAUAAUGAAAAAAAUACUCACUGAUGAUCAAAUAAAAUCAUUGGUGAAUAAAUCAAUAUGUGGCUAUAAGUGGUCAGAACAAACAAUAAAAAAAGCAAUUCGACUGAAAAUUGCAGGGUAAAUGGAUAUAAAGAACUGUUGCAACAACAUAUUCCUUUGCCAUCAGUGUGUACGUUACAAAAAAGAUUAGAAACACUCCACUUUGAAGAAGGGAUUUGCAAAGGAAUUAUAGAUAUCUUGAAAGAGAAAAAGUUAAAGGUUUUGAUGAUGAAAGAAAUAAAGAUGCUAUGAUUGCACUAGAUGAAAUGAGUAUUACUAAUGGAAAUCAAUUUGAUCCAUUAACUAAAGCAUUUUGUGGGAACAGUUCAUUACUCAAUAGCAAAGGAAACAUUGAAAGAGCUUUGCAUGCAUUGGUAAUUAUGCUGGAAUUAGCGCAAGAUGGAAACAAGUUGUAGUGUUUUAUUUUACUCUUUGUGGCUAUGAUGGAUCUCAAUUAAAACCUAUUAUUUUGAAAAUUAUUCAAAAGAUAGAAGCAAUUGGCUUAUAUAUUCACAGCAUAACUUCUGACAUGGGGUCUAUCAAUCAAGCUAUGUGGUGUUGAUAUUGGAGUUUCUCGCUAUUCUACAAUAGAGAAUUCUAUCCCUUAUCCAAUUGACAACAAUAGACGAUUAUUUUUUUUGCUGACAGUCCUCACUUGUUAAAAAAUCUGAAAAAUUGUUCAGUUAACAAUAAGGUUUUCAUAAUACCUGAAGACAUUGUACAUGACAAUAAUAUUAAUUUCUCUCAUGUAAAAUUUGAUCAUUUCAAACAACUUCUUGAAAUUCAAAAAAAUAUCAUGUUAAAAUUAACUCGAAAAAUCAAAUUAGAUGAUGUAGCAAAUGGUCAUUUCAGUAAAAUGAAAGUGAAUAAAGCAAAACAGUUUCUUAGUAGAGAAGUUAGUUCAUCCUUAAAGUUUCUAGUUGACUAAAAUGAUAAAACGGAAUAUACAACAACAGCAUAGUUCAUUGAGGUAGUCUCUAAAUGAUUUUUUUUAAUAACCUCACGAAAUCCACAAAUAGUGCUUGGUGAUAAUAGAACUGAGGAAAGUCAUUAUAAAUAUAUUGCAGCAGUAAACUUUUUACAUAAAGUAAUGAAACUUUUCCAAAAUAUUAAAAUUGGUCUCGGGAAAAGACGAAAUAUAAGACGAAAAACUUCCAAAUCUGUUCAAAUGGAAAAUAACAACAAUGAAAAUUUUAUAUAUGAGUUUAAGCUUGUAUAAACUGGAAUACUUUUAACUACAAAAUGAGUAAUCGAAAUAAUAGAUUAUUUAUUGAAGGAAAAGCAUUACUUGUUCGUUUUGACAGGUAGAUUUACACAAGAUUGCGUAAAAAACUUGUUCUCUUUGAUUCAAGCAAGAUAACCAAUCCUUAAUGCUCUUCAGUUUAAACCUUUAAACAAUGUUUAAAAGAAAUAAUCAUAUCCCAAUAUAUGAAAUCUUUAUCAAACAGUAGUUAUGAACAGGAUGAUCGUGAAUUUCUUGAUGGCUUUCUAAAUAUACAGAAAUAAUCGGAUAAAAAAGUCAACUUGCAACAUUACCUCAAUUAAAUAUACCAUUAUUGAACGUGGAUGAUGACAUUAAACUAAAUGUUGUAUAGCUGGAUAUCUUUUAUAUAAUAUUUCAAAAACUAACACUGUAUACGAUCAAUGUUUAAGUUCUGCUGGUUCUACCAAUAUACAAGAUUAUAAAUAUGCAAAAUUAGUCCAACUAAGAUGUUAUAAGGAAAAUAUUUUAUUUUUUGUUAACGAAAUUGUAUUUUAAUAUUUUCGGAAGAUGGGAAACGUCAUGCGUAUUUAUCUUCCGCUUAUUACUAAUAUUUAUUUAGAUGUUAAAAGUUUAUUUUGUUUUAAAAUUAGUAAAAUUACAUGUUCUGCGAUAAAAGAUCGCCAUAAUUUGUUAUCCAAAAUAAUGGAUCGAUUUAUUAUGUUUCGCGUAAAAAUGUGCAAUGUUACCGAAGAAAAUACUAAUACUGAAAAAUAUUAUAAUAGCAAAUCUGUGGCGAUGCAUCUAAAAAUUAAAUAAUAGAUAAUUUACGUUAUAUAUUUAAAAAAUUAUAAGAAAAU